CAGCAGCCACGGUAAUACGAAGGGUGCAAGCGUUAAUCGGAAUUACUGGGCGUAAAGCGUGCGUAGGCGGUUUCUUAAGUCUGCUGUGAAAUCCCCGGGCUCAACCUGGGAAUGGCAGUGGAUACUGGGAAGCUAGAGUGUGUCAGAGGAUGGUGGAAUUCCCGGUGUAGCGGUGAAAUGCGUAGAGAUCGGGAGGAACAUCAGUGGCGAAGGCGGCCAUCUGGGACAACACUGACGCUGAGGCACGAAAGCGUGGGGAGCAAACAGGAUUAGAUACCCGCGUAGUCCCUGUCUCUUAUAC
rnacentral:rRNA from 1 species